UACGUAGGUGGCAAGCGUUGUCCGGAUUUAUUGGGUUUAAAGGGUGCGUAGGCGGCCCUGUAAGUCAGUGGUGAAAUACUCCAGCUUAACUGGAGGGGUGCCAUUGAUACUGCAGGGCUUGAGUGGAGUAGAAGUAGGCGGAAUUGACGGUGUAGCGGUGAAAUGCUUAGAUAUCGUCAAGAACACCGAUAGUGAAGACAGCUUACUAUGCUUCAACUGACGCUGAGGCACGAAAGUGUGGGGAUCAAACAGGAUUAGAAACCCCCGUAGUCC
rnacentral:rRNA from 1 species